CAGCCACCCGAAACAGCCGGAGGGUGGGACGUCCGCCCAAAUAAGAAGUCCGGCCAAUCCUAGAGCACCGUUGCUCCUUGCAGGAACUGACGUCACGAUUUAGGCUUUGGAUGUCGGAAGUGACCCGACCGAUGGCAAAGCAACCUGGUUACCUAGGUAACGUCCUGGGUCUUGGCACUAGCCUGGUUUCCAGGGCCUAGCUGUCAAGACUUUUUUAAUUCCAGGAUACAGAGUCUUUUCCACCCCCAUUCCCUGAGGGUGCGCGUAUUCAUACACCCACUAUUCCAAGAUAGGUUCAUACCCACCCAAAACAAAAAAGGUGAGCACAAGUGUCCAGAUUCUCAGAAAAGCCACACACAUCCCACGCCACACACCACUAAUCAGAAGGCAGCUUCCUGGGGGAGACCCCAUGAGUGUUUGGAAUCUUAAAGGUUCAAGUGAAUUGCACCGAAGCCCCUUACUGUUAGACCUUAACACCAGUCUGAUUUGGGUCCGAGCUCUGCGUGGCGGUACUAAGAGAGCAAGUAAGAGGACGCCUGCACGUCUGAGACCAGCCUGCUCUACACAGUGAUUUCAGGACCGGUCCAGGGACAACUUGGUGAAAGCCUGCUUUAUUUGUCUUAAAGUUCUUAGGGAGCUUUGCUCUUCUGCCUUCCACUUGGACAGCUCAACGUAGCCUGCACACCCUUCACCUCCCAGACCCAAGCAAGAAGGGGAGGCCAGGGAGACGGAGGAAGUACAACUUUAUUUUCCAGAGGCGACUUAAAGGGACGUCUUCACAUUCAAACCCAAUCCUUCACCUGCCCCCUGAAAAGGAGCAGAGUUGACUCAAAGAGAUAGCCCCCCAUUUCACUUGAACCCCAUACCAGGAUUAUGUGGCUGUCUAUGCAAGGAUCUGCCUGUACCACCUCCAACAUCCAUCAAACGAAGCCUGUCUUCCCUCGGUACACGAGCCCAGAGCCCUUUACUAACAAGCUCUUCCUCACCCCUUAGAGGAACCUUGCCACGAGGCAGGAAACUGGGGGAUGCGCCCAGCCCAGGUGGGUCCAUGGAGCCCAUCAGCACAGCCCUCUUCUCUGGAGGCUCCUCUGGUGCCGGCUUCUCCCGUGCAGCCUCCAAGGCUAAGCCCACAGGUACUGCCAGACGAGGGGGUGGAACCCCAGUCUCCUCUGGGGAAAAAAACAAAAAACAAAAAUCAAACCCUAAACCAAACAGGUCACUAGGCUCCUCUGGCCCAACCAACCUGUGAUUCUCCCCUAACCCUGGGACCAAGAGAGGUCACGCAGGUUGAUAAGUAGGCUCAGUCUCUCCUUCCAUCCAGGGCCUCUGAAAAUGUGAAUAAAGGACCAGCAUAUCGGUUCAGGCUGGUUUAUUUCAGAGAA